rnacentral:rRNA from 1 species
AUACGGAAGGUCCGGGCGUUAUCCGGAUUUAUUGGGUUUAAAGGGAGCGCAGGCGGCACUUCAAGCGUGACGUUAAAUUUCGGGGCUCACCCCCGUUUUGCGUCGCGAACUGUUGUGCUUGAGUAGGCGGCAGGGAGGCGGAAUUCGCGGGGUAGCGGGUAAAUGCUUAGAUAUCGCGAGGAACUCCGAUAGCGCAGGCUGCCUCGUGUUGCUUUGCUGACGCUCAUGCUCGAAGGUGCGGGUAUCGAACAGGAUUAGAUCCCCUGGUAGUCCGCGCUGUAAACGAUGGAUGCCCGCUGUUGGGCCUUUUGGGUUCAGUGGCCAAGAGAAAUCGUUAAGCAUCCCGCCUGGGGAGUACGCCGGCAACGGUGAAACUCAAAGGAAUUGACGGGG